rnacentral:rRNA from 1 species
GGUUAAGCGACUAAGCGUACACGGUGGAUGCCCUGGCAGUCAGAGGCGAUGAAGGACGUGCUAAUCUGCGAAAAGCGUCGGUAAGGUGAUAUGAACCGUUAUAACCGGCGAUGUCCGAAUGGGGAAACCCAGUGCAAUUCGUUGCACUAUCGUUAACUGAAUACAUAGGUUAACGAGGCGAACCGGGGGAACUGAAACAUCUAAGUACCCCGAGGAAAAGAAAUCAACCGAGAUUCCCCCAGUAGCGGCGAGCGAACGGGGAGCAGCCCAGAGUCUGAAUCAGCUUGUGUGUUAGUGGAACGGUCUGGAAAGUCCGACGGUACAGGGUGAUAGUCCCGUACACCAAAAUGCACAGGCUGUGAACUCGAAGAGUAGGGCGGGACACGUGGUAUCCUGUCUGAAUAUGGGGGGACCAUCCUCCAAGGCUAAAUACUCCUGACUGACCGAUAGUGAACCAGUACCGUGAGGGAAAGGCGAAAAGAACCCCGGCGAGGGGAGUGAAAAAGAACCUGAAACCGUGUACGUACAAGCAGUGGGAGCACCUUCGGGUGUGACUGCGUACCUUUUGUAUAAUGGGUCAGCGACUUAUAUUCUGUAGCAAGGUUAACCGUAUAGGGGAGCCGCAGGGAAACCGAGUCUUAACUGGGCGUUAAGUUGCAGGGUAUAGACCCGAAACCCGGUGAUCUAGCCAUGGGCAGGUUGAAGGUUGGGUAACACUAACUGGAGGACCGAACCGACUAAUGUUGAAAAAUUAGCGGAUGACUUGUGGCUGGGGGUGAAAGGCCAAUCAAACCGGGAGAUAGCUGGUUCUCCCCGAAAGCUAUUUAGGUAGCGCCUCGUGAAUUCAUCUUCGGGGGUAGAGCACUGUUUCGGCUAGGGGGUCAUCCCGACUUACCAACCCGAUGCAAACUACGAAUACCGAAGAAUGUUAUCACGGGAGACACACGGCGGGUGCUAACGUCCGUCGUGAAGAGGGAAACAACCCAGACCGCCAGCUAAGGUCCCAAAGUCAUGGUUAAGUGGGAAACGAUGUGGGAAGGCACAGACAGCCAGGAUGUUGGCUUAGAAGCAGCCAUCAUUUAAAGAAAGCGUAAUAGCUCACUGGUCGAGUCGGCCUGCGCGGAAGAUGUAACGGGGCUAAACCAUGCACCGAAGCUGCGGCAGCGACAC